UGUCACCAUGGCUUUUGGGUGCAUUGAGCUGAGGCCCGCUGACUCCUGGUUCCUUUGGUUAACAAGGCAGAAGUUCCCCAGAAACCUUUCUUAGUCACAAUAAAAUGCUCCAGGAGAUGGAAUGCUGCAUUGUGAAAACCAGCAAAUAUGAUAACCAUUUGUGAAAGAACUCUGCAGAAGCACACAGUGAAUUAUCACUGACAUGGAACAUAAAUGGAAUUCAGUCAAGUUCCAACUUUAGGCACUGGAUCUGAGGACGCUUCUUAAAUGUUUUCUUCUACCUUAGAAGACACAAAGUUCCUUGUUGCAAUGUUUUCUGUUGGUGACUGGAUACUGCCAGGGGCUGGUGAGGAGCUGUAAAACUACAGUGAACCCAGUGACCAUCUCAAAUCUAGGCCUAGGAGAAAAAUGAGGUAAUGAAGAAGAAAGAGGAAGACAAAGGGAAAAGGAUACUUCUGGAUAUUGCAAAGAUGUCUAAACUUCACUAGCAUGCUCAUCCUAUUUCAUGUUAGGUAUCAUAGGCAACUUAUCU